AGAAUUCAAUCAUUAUUAAUUAGUAUACUUCUAAUUAUCAACUUAUAAUAGAUGUUAUCCAAAGGCUAAUCUCAUAUAUUGAGUUGAAAUGUUAACCAAGAAUGCUGAUAAUAUAAAGGAUUUACUCACUUGUAAUCUUCAGCCAGAUUCCUGAGCUCAUAAAGCUGAAUUGAAAAUCCUCUCUCUUUUUCAAGCCUAGUGUUGAAGAUGCCAUGUCUGUUGUGACUAGCACAGUCUUACCAAAUCUGAGGCAACUCAGAGUGACCUUGAGGACCAUGAAGUACCCACUGAUGGCCAUGAUGUUGCGUUGCAAUGAUCCUGGAGAUGCUGGAUGCUGUGCCAGGUGAUAGAAGCACUGUUAGCAGAUCACAGAUCAGGC
rnacentral:lncRNA from 1 species